GAUGAACGCUAGCGGCAGGCCUAACACAUGCAAGUCGAGGGGUAACUAGAGUGAUAGCAAUAUUACUUUGGCUAGACCGGCGCACGGGUGCGUAACACGUAUGCAACCUACCUUAUACUGGGGAAUAACUUCGGGAAAUCGGCGCUAAUACCCCAUAACAUUGCGAAGAGGCAUCUCUUUGCAAUUAAAGCUCCGGCGGUAUAAGAUGGGCAUGCGUCCAAUUAGCUAGUUGGUGAGGUAACGGCUCACCAAGGCUACGAUUGGUAGGGGUUUUGAGAGGAUGAUCCCCCACACGGGUACUGAGACACGGCCCAGACUCCUACGGGAGGCAGCAGUGAGGAAUAUUGCGCAAUGGACGAAAGUCUGACGCAGCCAUGCCGCGUGCAGGAUGACGGCCCUAUGGGUUGUAAACUGCUUUUGUACGGGAAUAAACCCUUCUACGUGUAGGAGGCUGAAGGUACCGUAAGAAUAAGCACCGGCUAACUCCGUGCCAGCCGCCGCCGUAA
rnacentral:rRNA from 1 species